CGCCCUUUCUGGUGAUGGGAUUUACUUUCAGAGCUGGAGAGGGCCGCAGAGACCAGGUGGCUGCGACUGUUUAUUAAAAACACAGCACUCUGCAAAUUCGUAAGAAGACGUAUAGGGUGUGACGCCUGCCCGGUGCCGGAAGGUUAAUUGAUGGGGUUAUCUUCGGAGAAGCUCUUGAUCGAAGCCCCGGUAAACGGCGGCCGUAACUAUAACGGUCCUAAGGUAGCGAAAUUCCUUGUCGGGUAAGUUCCGACCUGCACGAAUGGCGUAACGAUGGCCACACUGUCUCCACCCGAGACUCAGUGAAAUUGAAAUCGCUGUGAAGAUGCAGUGUACCCGCGGCUAGACGGAAAGACCCCGUGAACCUUUACUAUAGUUUUGCACUGGACUUUGAUGAUGACUGUGUAGGAUAGGUGGGAGGCUGUGAAGUGAGGACGCUAGUUCUCAUGGAGCCGCCCUUGAAAUACCACCCUGUUGUUAUUGAGGUUCUAACUUGGUCCAGUAAUCCUGGAUGAGGACAGUGUAUGAUGGGUAGUUUGACUGGGGCGGUCUCCUCCCAAAGAGUAACGGAGGAGCACAAAGGUACCCUCGGUACGGUCGGACAUCGUACCAAGAGUGUAAAGGCAAAAGGGUGCUUGACUGCGAGAGUGACGGCUCGAGCAGGAACGAAAGUUGGUCUUAGUGAUCCGGUGGUUCUGAAUGGAAGGGCCAUCGCUCAACGGAUAAAAGGUACUCCGGGGAUAACAGGCUGAUACCGCCCAAGAGUUCAUAUCGACGGCGGUGUUUGGCACCUCGAUGUCGGCUCAUCACAUCCUGGGGCUGAAGCAGGUCCCAAGGGUAUGGCUGUUCGCCAUUUAAAGUGGUACGCGAGCUGGGUUUAGAACGUCGUGAGACAGUUCGGUCCCUAUCUGCCGUGGGCGUAGGAAAAUUGAGAGGAGCUGCUCCUAGUACGAGAGGACCGGAGUGGACGAACCUCUGGUGCACCGGUUGUCACGCCAGUGGCAUGGCCGGGUAGCUAAGUUCGGACGGGAUAACCGCUGAAAGCAUCUAAGCGGGAAGCCUCCCUCAAGAUGAGUUUUCCCAUGAAGCCCGUUGAAGACUACGACGUUGAUAGGCAAGGUGUGGAAGCGCAGUAAUGCGUGAAGCUAACUUGUACUAAUUGGCUGAUUGUCUUGACCAUAUAAUCUGAG
rnacentral:rRNA from 1 species